AGAGUUUGAUCAUGGCUCAGAAUGAACGCUGGCGGCGUGCUUAACACAUGCAAGUCGUACGAGAACUCUUCUGCUUGCAGAAGAUAGUAAAGUGGCGUACGGGUGAGUAACGCGUGGGUAAUCUACCUUCGACUCGGGGAUAACAUUGCGAAAGCGAUGCUAAUACCGGAUGAUAUCUCGAAUCCCUCGGGAUUUGUGAUCAAAGGUGGUCUCUACAUGUAAGCUAUUGAUCGGAGAUGAGCCCGCGUACCAUUAGCUUGUUGGUAGGGUAAUGGCCUACCAAGGCAACGAUGGUUAGCUGGUCUGAGAGGAUGAUCAGCCACACUGGAACUGACACACGGUCCAGACUCCUACGGGAGGCAGCAGUGAGGAAUUUUGCGCAAUGGGGGAAACCCUGACGCAGCAACGCCGCGUGAGUGAUGAAGGCUUUCGGGUCGUAAAGCUCUGUCGAGUGGGAAGAAAAUUUCUGAUGCAAAUACCAUCAGAAAUUGACGGUACCGCUGAAGGAAGCACCGGCUAACUCCGUGCCAGCAGCCGCGGUAAUACGGGGGGUGCAAGCGUUAUUCGGAAUUAUUGGGCGUAAAGAGCGCGUAGGCGGCUCUAUAAGUCAGAUGUGAAAGCCCGGGGCUUAACCCCGGAAGUGCAUUUGAAACUAUAGGGCUUGAGUAUGGGAGAGGGAAGUGGAAUUCCUGGUGUAGAGGUGAAAUUCGUAGAUAUCAGGAGGAACAUCGGUGGCGAAGGCGACUUCCUGGACCAAUACUGACGCUGAGGCGCGAAGGCGUGGGGAGCAAACAGGAUUAGAUACCCUAGUAGUCC
rnacentral:rRNA from 1 species